GUGAGCUUUAGGACACCUAGGAAUAGAGUGAUUCAUGGGAAGUGGGUGGUGUGGCGCCACUUAGCGGAACAUGAUAUCACGAGCAGUUCAUAUUCUGAUGGGGUAUUAUCGUUACAUACAUCUGGUGUGUAUAUGAUGAUAUUCUUGAAAGGGUCGUUUAUCCUGCAUUUCUCUUGACCUUACCCUGGCCUAGAUGACACCCGUGAGUGGGGAGGGAAUGAAUC
rnacentral:lncRNA from 1 species